UACAGAGGUGGCAAGCGUUGUUCGGAAUUACUGGGCGUAAAGGGCGCGUAGGCGGCCCUCUAAGUCCCGUGUGAAAGCCCCCGGCUCAACCGGGGAACUGCACGGGAAACUGGAAGGCUUGAGUUCGGGAGAGGGAAGCGGAAUUCCGGGUGUAGCGGUGAAAUGCGUAGAUAUCCGGAGGAACACCAGUGGCGAAGGCGGCUCACUGGCCCGGUACUGGACGCUGAGGUGCGAAAGCGUGGGGAGCAAACAGGG
rnacentral:rRNA from 1 species